AAAAAAACCCAUAAGAGUCGUAUUUAAGCUGUAAAUUAACAGUGCUUGUGCAUGCAAUUUUAUUUUUCUUCACAGUUGCCAGAUGGUGUGGAGCAGAUGAUUCUUCACUAAAUAGGGGCUGAAUGUUGAACAGCUGAGGACAGAGGAGUGUAAAGAGCAUUCUUUACCACUGCUGCUCUUUUUAUCCUUGACUAAAAGCACCGGCUGCCCAUUUGAUCCCAGCAUUGAGCUACCAUAACCUGGAGACCAAUCCUUCCUUCCUUCUUUGACUCAUUGCCUAAGGCAGCUGCCAGCACUGGUAUGAGGGGAGUUGUGUAUGCCAUUCCACAGUAGAUGGGAAAGAAAAAAAAAGUUUUUCUGACUUUGUGUAGCUGAUGGAAACCACAUUGAUGGUAGUAGAAGAUUAUAACAAAUUGGAGGUGUUGCAAAAAAAUGAAGAAAAGAAAGGAACCACACACAUCCCAGCAUGCUCUGAGCUGAAAUGUGACAGAAAGUGAACAACAGAUGCAAUUUAGAAACAGGAGAAUCUGAAAACAGAGGCACUCUGUGGAAGGAAGCAACCUGGAAUGCAGUAAUAUAAAAAGCUUUGAUCCCCCUCUGACAGACAGGAAACUUGUUAAGAAAGAUCAGAACAAGACACAUCCUUAU
rnacentral:lncRNA from 1 species